rnacentral:rRNA from 1 species
GAUGAACGCUGGCGGCGUGCCUAAUACAUGCAAGUCGAGCGAACAGACGAGGAGCUUGCUCCUCUGACGUUAGCGGCGGACGGGUGAGUAACACGUGGAUAACCUACCUAUAAGACUGGGAUAACUUCGGGAAACCGGAGCUAAUACCGGAUAAUAUAUUGAACAGCAUGGUUCAAUAGUGAAAGACGGUUUUGCUGUCACUUAUAGAUGGAUCCGCGCCGCAUUAGCUAGUUGGUAAGGUAACGGCUUACCAAGGCAACGAUGCGUAGCCGACCUGAGAGGGUGAUCGGCCACACUGGAACUGAGACACGGUCCGGACUCCUACGGGAGGCAGCAGUAGGGAAUCUUCCGCAAUGGGCGAAAGCCUGACGGAGCAACGCCGCGUGAGUGAUGAAGGUCUUCGGAUCGUAAAACUCUGUUAUUAGGGAAGAACAAAUGUGUAAGUAACUAUGCACGUCUUGACGGUACCUAAUCAGAAAGCCACGGCUAACUACGUG